GACGAACGCUGGCGGCGUGCUUAAUACAUGCAAGUCGAACGGAAAGGCCCUGCUUUUGUGGGGUGCUCGAGUGGCGAACGGGUGAGUAACACGCGAGUAACCUGCCCUUGACUUUGGGAUAACUUCAGGAAACUGGGGCUAAUACCGGAUAGGAGCUCCUGCUGCAUGGUGGGGGUUGGAAAGUGUCGGCGGUUGGGGGUGGACUCGCGGCUUAUCAGCUUGUUGGUGGGGUAGUGGCUGACCAAGGCUAUGACGGGUAGCCGGCCUGGGAGGGUGGCCGGCCACCUUGGUCCUGCGAUAGGGCCCAGUCUCCUACGGGAGGCAGCAGUGGAGAACAUUGCACAGUGGGCGGAAGCCUGAUGCGGCAACGCCGCGUGCGUGAUGCCGGCCUUCGGGUUGUAAACCGCUUUCGACUGUGCCGAGGCGUGAGUGACGGUAAUGGGUAAAGAAGCCCCGGCUAACUACGUG
rnacentral:rRNA from 1 species